AUCCGUAAAGGUAAACCCAUCGCAAGAUGGGGGCGCAAAGUCAUGGGUCCCGCUAUAAGCAGGAUCGCCAGAUUGCCGGAU
rnacentral:ncRNA from 1 species